AGGUUGUGGUGCAGUUGACCCCUGUUCUAAACCCCUUGCAGCCUUUUCCUGUAGGAACUGAGUUCAUAACAUACACAGCAACCGACCGCACAGGAAACAAGGCCAACUGCUCUUUCACUGUUACUGUAGUUGAUACGGAACCCCCUUUGAUUGACAGAUGCAGAUCUCCACCCACCGUUAAGGCCACUGGGAAGAAAACUGCAGUAUACUGGGAAGAACCUCAGUUUUCAGACAAUUCUGGAGCCUAUUUGAAUAUCUCUAGUAUUCACUCAUCUGGAGAUGUAUUUCCUGUUGGAGAAACUUUAGUGUACUAUACAGCCACAGACCCUCUUCUGGAAACAAUCGUA